AACGAACGCUGACGGCAUGCCUAACACAUGCAAGUCGAACGAGACCUUCGGGUCUAGUGGCGCACGGGUGCGUAACGCGUGGGAACCUGCCCUUAGGUUCGGAAUAACUCCCCGAAAGGGGUGCUAAUACCGGAUAAUGUCUUCGGACCAAAGAUUUAUCGCCUUUGGAUGGGCCCGCGUUGGAUUAGCUAGUUGGUAGGGUAAAAGCCUACCAAGGCGACGAUCCAUAGCUGGUCUGAGAGGAUGAUCAGCCACACUGGGACUGAGACACGGCCCAGACUCCUACGGGAGGCAGCAGUGGGGAAUAUUGGACAAUGGGCGAAAGCCUGAUCCAGCAAUGCCGCGUGAGCGAUGAAGGCCUUAGGGUUGUAAAGCUCUUUUACCCGGGAUGAUAAUGACAGUACCGGGAGAAUAAGCUCCGGCUAACUCCGUG
rnacentral:rRNA from 1 species